rnacentral:lncRNA from 1 species
CACAAAUGACUGACAUUCAUCUUGAUCUGACUACUUUGAUAUAUACAAACAGAUGAAGAAAUGUGAUUGAACUUUAUACAAAUAUAAAUGAUUGCAUUGGCUCCACAUUUUGUAGGAUUAAAAACCAAAACCAAAACCUAAAACAAACAACCAACUGAAAACACUUGGAGUAUAUUUUUUUUCCCAAUUCUGCCUUAUAGGUUCUCUAAACCCAGGAAUCUUUUUAGAUGAAGAAUUAAAGAAACUUCAGAUAAUAUUCAGAGUACUGGAACAUUAGUAGGAUUGCCAUUCAGAGAAGAUCAGUGGCAUGUGAUUCCUCUUGUGAAUACAAAGAACAAAAGACAAAAUUUGUGUGGGGCCUAGCCUUGGAGAAAAGAAUAACUAUGCAAACUAUGCCAAAGGUAAGUGAUAGAUUAUGUGAAUGUCUUCGGGGAAUGUCAAGUGUGAGAAGUUACAAAGCAAUUAGACAAAAGCAACUGUGUCCCCAGACGAAGAUCUUGUUCAAUGAAUAAAAUACAGCAGCAGACAAUCCUGUCCAAGGACUUGAACUACUCUCACUCUUUAGAACACACUUCUCUGGGCAUUUUCCAGAUUUGUGGAAGCUUCCAAACAGGAUCAUACUCCAACUACAAGCACACAGAGAAGUAUUUUUCCUGACCAGCACACAGGAUGACAGUGACUGGCUGAGACUGAAACACUGCUGUGCGCACAACCCCAGUGCAAGAUCCUGCUGGGAAGACAGCCAUCAGCCAGGUGGGGAAGUGUCAGCCUUGGCUGCUCUCUGCUACAGCUCAGUGCUUGAUCCUGAUAAUGUGCUGUCUUGUGGCUUCCUCUUUUUAAGGGUAUUUUACCUUGAUGUGUUUGUAUAUUAACCUUGAAUUUUUACUACGAAUUCAGAUUUUUAUUUAUUUAUUUAUUUAUUUAUUUAUUUAUUUGUCUGCUGCUGAAUUAAGUAAAGAUUUUAUUUCCUGAACAUAUUUUAGAAGUUAUAUAGGCAUACAGGAGGAUUUCACAAUAUUCAUUAUUUAUUUGCAUACUUUGUUGAAUAUAGGGUGUCAUUCUAAAGAGGAGUGAAAGACGAGUUCAGUUCAGAGCUUUGAAACAAGUUUUGGAGUAUUUUACUAUCGGAAUUGCUGCUUAGAUUCAUUUUGCAUGCAUAAUAGUCAAAAUUCACUAUAAAGUACUUAUCCUUUGAUGUCUUCUAUGAAAAGUUUUUGUGCCUAGUCCCUUGGGUAAUUUAUUCCUGACAAAACUCCUGCAGUGUCUGACACAAUCCAGAGUGUCACCCUACAGGAUUGUGAAG